GAUGAACGCUGGCGGCGUGCCUAAUACAUGCAAGUUGUGCGGUAACAGAGAGAGCUUGCUCUCUGCUGACGAGCGGCGGACGGCAGAGUAACGCGUAGGAACAUACCCCAAACUGAGGGAUAACUGCUCGAAAGAGUAGCUAAUACCGCAUGUGGUCUUCGGAUUAAAGCUUCGGCGGUUUGGGAGUGGCCUGCGUCCGAUUAGCUAGUUGGUGAGGUAAUUGCUCACCAAGGCGACGAUCGGUAGCUGGUCUGAGAGGAUGAUCAGCCUGACUGGAACUGAGAACGGUCCAGACUCCUACGGGAGGCAGCAGUAGGGAAUUUUCCACAAUGGACGAAAGCCUGAUGGAGCAACGCCGCGUGCAGGAUGAAUGCCUUCGGGUUGUAAACUGCUUUUCUGUGUGAAGAAUAUGACGGUAACACAGGAAUAAGGGUCGGCUAACUACGUGCCAGCAGCCGCGGUAAU
rnacentral:rRNA from 1 species